rnacentral:rRNA from 1 species
GACGAACGCUGGCGGCGUGCCUAAUACAUGCAAGUAGAACGCUGAAGAGAGGAGCUUGCUCUUCUUGGAUGAGUUGCGAACGGGUGAGUAACGCGUAGGUAACCUGCCUUGUAGCGGGGGAUAACUAUUGGAAACGAUAGCUAAUACCGCAUAACAAUGGAUGACACAUGUCAUUUAUUUGAAAGGGGCAAUUGCUCCACUACAAGAUGGACCUGCGUUGUAUUAGCUAGUAGGUGUGGUAAUGGCUCACCUAGGCGACGAUACAUAGCCGACCUGAGAGGGUGAUCGGCCACACUGGGACUGAGACACGGCCCAGACUCCUACGGGAGGCAGCAGUAGGGAAUCUUCGGCAAUGGGGGCAACCCUGACCGAGCAACGCCGCGUGAGUGAAGAAGGUUUUCGGAUCGUAAAGCUCUGUUGUAAGUCAAGAACGGGUGUGAGAGUGGAAAGUUCACACUGUGACGGUAGCUUGCCAGAAAGGGACGGCUAACUACGU